ensembl:lncRNA
GCGCUUCGAGCCGAGUAGCCCCGGGCUCUCCCGUCCUCCCGAGUGCCGGCAGUGCCUCCGUCGUGAACGCGAUCGGCAGCUUUCGUCGGUGCCCUUUUCCCGUCUGCUUUUCCCGUGGCGGUGGCGGUGAAUCGAGAGAGGAAGCGGUCCUGGGGCACGGCUCGGGGCUCUCAGGGCUUCCUUGGAGUUGCUGGGAGCGUCUGCUGUUAGCAGCAGUUGCUGCGGGAACUCUCCCGUGCUUUCAGCACUCGACCUCCGUUGUACUCUUGAGGGCUUCACCCGACGGCUGCGGGCUGCGGGCUGCGGGCUGUGGAUGCGAUGGCAGUGGAUGCAAGUGAGCAGUCCCGUGAGAAGCUCCUUGUUUGCCAAGUUCCUGCCGUGAGGCUGUAGGACCGAGGCCCUCUUUAGCGCACCGCUACAGAGCCAUAGGAAUCUGGGAUGCUUCUGCACACGUACGGCUUGCUGUGCUCUGAUGUUAGCAAUGGAGGCGGGGAUUUGGGAUUUGGGAUUUGGGAUUGGGGAUUUGGGAUAUGGGAUUUGGGAUUUGGCCUUUGGCUUUUGGCCUUUGGCCUUUGGCGGGGGAGGAGAUGGAUAGCGAUGGCUGGAGGUUCUCUUCCCUUCAGGAAAGAAGCUCCUGCUCUGGCUCCGCCAAGGCUUUGCUUCUCUCCUAGAAAGAAGCCAUUCCAGACGUUUGGGCUGCUGCUGCGUAAUCUCUCCUUGGAAUGCUGGGGACAUCACACCCGAAAUGCUUGGGCGUUUGCUUUGUUGUUCAACAGACGCCUGCAGUUCCCGUUCUGGCAGCGGCUCGGUGCAAGCGCAGGCCCAAGGGAGAUGUCAGCUGCGGAGACGUGCCCUUCCUCCACAGGACGGGAAAGCAAGUCGGGGAGAAGAGCUGGAGGCAGCUGAACCUAUAUGAGAAAAUGGAACUGAGAGACCCUGCGAAGGAGGAGAUCCCUGAGAAAAAGCGCAACACCAGCCAGAAGCUCAGCCUCGGAUACCUGCACAUGGCCGUCAGACAGAAGACGGGCAUGAAGACGAGAGCAGGGUCAGACCCUAAAGAACAGCAAGGCCACCUUGGCUAUGGAGCAGACAGUGGACCUGAAAUUGCAACAAGAAACAGGCUGCUCUUCAUUAACAUCCGUCGUUGCCGUCAUCCUCCCUACGGCUUCUCCUGUAAGAAGAUGUGGAAGAAGAGAAACUGAGCACAUAGCUGCCACCAUAUGUGCAAAAACCCCUGCAGAAUAAAAAGUCCUGCUCAG